rnacentral:rRNA from 1 species
UCAGGAUGAACGCUAGCUACAGGCUUAACACAUGCAAGUCGAGGGGCAGCAUUUUAGUUUGCUUGCAAACUGAAGAUGGCGACCGGCGCACGGGUGAGUAACACGUAUCCAACCUGCCGAUAACUCCGGAAUAGCCUUUCGAAAGAAAGAUUAAUACCGGAUAGCAUACGAAUAUCGCAUGAUAUUUUUAUUAAAGAAUUUCGGUUAUCGAUGGGGAUGCGUUCCAUUAGUUUGUUGGCGGGGUAACGGCCCACCAAGACUACGAUGGAUAGGGGUUCUGAGAGGAAGGUCCCCCACAUUGGAACUGAGACACGGUCCAAACUCCUACGGGAGGCAACAGUGAGGAAUAUUGGUCAAUGGGCGAGAGCCUGAACCAGCCAAGUAGCGUGAAGGAUGAAGGCUCUAUGGGUCGUAAACUUCUUUUAUAUGGGAAUAAAGUUUUCCACGUGUGGAAUUUUGUAUGUACCAUAUGAAUAAGGAUCGGCUAACUCCGUGCCAGCAGCCGCGGUAAUACGGAGGAUCCGAGCGUUAUCCGGAUUUAUUGGGUUUAAAGGGAGCGUAGGUGGAUUGUUAAGUCAGUUGUGAAAGUUUGCGGCUCAACCGUAAAAUUGCAGUUGAAACUGGCAGUCUUGAGUACAGUAGAGGUGGGCGGAAUUCGUGGUGUAGCGGUGAAAUGCUUAGAUAUCACGAAGAACUCCGAUUGCGAAGGCAGCUCACUAGACUGUCACUGACACUGAUGCUCGAAAGUGUGGGUAUCAAACAGGAUUAGAUACCCUGGUAGUCCACACAGUAAACGAUGAAUACUCGCUGUUUGCGAUAUACAGUAAGCGGCCAAGCGAAAGCAUUAAGUAUUCCACCUGGGGAGUACGCCGGCAACGGUGAAACUCAAAGGAAUUGACGGGGGCCCGCACAAGCGGAGGAACAUGUGGUUUAAUUCGAUGAUACGCGAGGAACCUUACCCGGGCUUAAAUUGCAACAGAAUAUAUUGGAAACAGUAUAGCCGUAAGGCUGUUGUGAAGGUGCUGCAUGGUUGUCGUCAGCUCGUGCCGUGAGGUGUCGGCUUAAGUGCCAUAACGAGCGCAACCCUUAUCUUUAGUUACUAACAGGUCAUGCUGAGGACUCUAGAGAGACUGCCGUCGUAAGAUGUGAGGAAGGUGGGGAUGACGUCAAAUCAGCACGGCCCUUACGUCCGGGGCUACACACGUGUUACAAUGGGGGGUACAGAAGGCGGCUACCUGGUGACAGGAUGCUAAUCCCAAAAACCUCUCUCAGUUCGGAUCGAAGUCUGCAACCCGACUUCGUGAAGCUGGAUUCGCUAGUAAUCGCGCAUCAGCCAUGGCGCGGUGAAUACGUUCCCGGGCCUUGUACACACCGCCCGUCAAGCCAUGAAAGCCGGGGGUACCUGAAGUACGUAACCGCAAGGAGCGUCCUAGGGUAAAAC